rfam:Human gut metagenome DNA, contig sequence: F1-S_002956.
CCGCAUGCCCUGGCAGAGUCGCACCGUACAAAGCGGCCCCGCCCCACUACACC